GUAUGAAACGGUCGCCAAUGACAUCGAGUUUGGUCCUUCGAGCCCGAUCGCUGCAAGGGACGGGACACAGUUCUGGAAACAUUUAAUGCACCCCAUGUUUGAUAGGCUAAUCCUGAACGAUGCAGACUGUUUUCCACUAAACACAAAGAAAUGGAACCCGGUAACCGAAAAAAAAACUACGGAUCUAGCUAGUGGAAGCCGCUUCAAAAGACAUCAAUAUCAUGUUCAUGAUGUGCGGAACAAUUAUUUGGGAAGAAAUUCCGAUAUACGUAAUAGUCAGUGGAUUGGACAAUUAUCGCAAAUCCCAAAUAACGAAAUACUACGGCCGACAUUUGACGGGAGUUUAUUAGUCUCACCUCCAGCGGAGGAUGAGGAAGUUGAUUAAUUCAGCCAAUAUAAACAGAAGCAGUCCAGAGCGUGAUAGGCCGAGAUCAUCCUCUUAUCUACCCUUCUGCGGCGCGGCUCGGCGCGGCGUUUAACAGUAUUAUAUAACGUAUUGAUAUCAAGUACAAUUAUUGUAAUAUAUGUGUGUGUCUAGUCUUUGUGUGUUUUAUUGGUACAGUCAGCCCACGAAUGUAGCUGAACAAAUUAAAAAUUCCAAAACGCACAAACUGUUUAGUGGAGCUUAUGAAUGCAGUUUACUGGAACAAAUCAAAAUAAUUGUUCCUUACAAUUUUCCCAGACGCCCACUAAACAAAAUUCAUCAGGGCCCUCCAUAUAGAUCGAAUCAAGGGCUCCAUUCACCGUUUAACCGGACAUGCGAUAGUUAUAGUAUGAUGUGCACUAAAUUAUCUGAUCUUGACAUAUUCUCCGAUUCCUUAAAAAUAUGCAAAAAUAAAAUGCUGACAUUGUUUUUCUCUCAAACCAUAGCCGAUGUGGACCAAGUAUAGAUUUUGUUAUUAAUAAUAUUUAUGGUAUGUUGGAAUUGAUGUUAUUAAAAUGGUAUUUGGUGGGUUUAAGAUAUGAUAUCCAGGUUCUUGGAAUUGGUUAUAUGUUGUUUUUUUUUUAAUAUUUUAUAUUAAUGUUUAAAUUUGUUAACCAUAUUACCUUGAUUAAAUAAGCGCUAAUUUCUAGUGUCAUACUAUUAUGACAGUCUGUUUGUAAUAAGUGUAUAUUUUAUGAAUGUUGGUACAUCUUUAUUUGGUAAGCACAUAAGAACAAUACAAUACUAAGAA